CCUACGGGGGGCAGCAGUGGGGAAUAUUGGACAAUGGGGGGAACCCUGAUCCAGCGACGCCGCGUGAGUGAAGAAGUAUUUCGGUAUGUAAAGCUCUAUCAGCAGGGAAGAAAAUGACGGUACCUGACUAAGAAGCCCCGGCUAACUACGUGCCAGCAGCCGCGGUAAUACGUAGGGGGCAAGCGUUAUCCGGAUUUACUGGGUGUAAAGGGAGCGCAGACGGCUUGGCAAGUCUGAAGUGAAAGCCCGGGGCUUAACCCCGGGACUGCUUUGGAAACUGUGAAGCUAGAGUGUCGGAGAGGUAAGUGGAAUUCCCAGUGUAGCGGUGAAAUGCGUAGAUAUUGGGAGGAACACCGGUGGCGAAGGCGGCUUACUGGACGAUAACUGACGUUGAGGCUCGAAGGCGUGGGG
rnacentral:rRNA from 1 species